GAUGAACGCUGGCGGCGUGCUUAACACAUGCAAGUCGAACGGAGUGAAUAAAACGGAAGUUUUCGGAUGGAAGUUUUACUUACUUAGUGGCGGACGGGUGAGUAACGCGUGGGUAACCUGCCGUAUACAGGGGGAUAACACUUAGAAAUAGGUGCUAAUACCGCAUAAGCGCACAGCUUUGCAUGAAGCAGUGUGAAAAGCCGAGACGGUAUACGAUGGACCCGCGUCUGAUUAGCUAGUUGGUGGGGUAGAGGCCUACCAAGGCGACGAUCAGUAGCCGGCCUGAGAGGGUGACCGGCCACAUUGGGACUGAGACACGGCCCAAACUCCUACGGGAGGCAGCAGUGGGGAAUAUUGCACAAUGGGGGGAAGCCCUGAUGCAGCGACGCCGCGUGAGUGAAGAAGUAUUUCGGUAUGUAAAGCUCUAUCAGCAGGGAAGAACAUGACGGUACCUGACUAAGAAGCCCCGGCUAACUACGUGCCAGCAGCCG
rnacentral:rRNA from 1 species